UACGUAGGGGGCUAGCGUUGUCCGGAAUCAUUGGGCGUAAAGCGCGUGUAGGCGGUCCGGUAAGUCCGCUGUGAAAGUCGAGGGCUCAACCCUCGAAUGCCGGUGGAUACUGUCGGGCUUGAGUACGGGAGAGGCGAGUGGAAUUCCUGGUGUAGCGGUGAAAUGCGCAGAUAUCAGGAGGAACACCGAUUGCGAAGGCAGCUCGCUGGAACGUUACUGACGCUGAGGAGCGAAAGCAUGGGGAGCGAACAGG
rnacentral:rRNA from 1 species